rnacentral:rRNA from 1 species
CCCGGGAUCCAAGCUUACGGCUACCUUGUUACGACUUCGGCUGAGCCAGGAUCAAACUCUGUUGUCGACGAAUUCGGCUGAGCCAGGAUCAAACUCUGUUGUCGACGAAUUCGGCUGAGAGGGUGACCGGCCACACUGGGACUGAGACACGGCCCAGACUCCUACGGGAGGCAGCAGUGGGGAAUAUUGCACAAUGGGCGCAAGCCUGAUGCAGCGACGCCGCGUGAGGGAUGACGGCCUUCGGGUUGUAAACCUCUUUCAGCAGGGAAGAAGCCACAGGUGACGGUACCUGCAGAAGAAGCGCCGGCUAACUACGUGCCAGCAGCCGCGGUAAUACGUAGGGCGCAAGCGUUGUCCGGAAUUAUUGGGCGUAAAGAGCUCGUAGGCGGUUUGUCGCGUCUGCUGUGAAAGCCCGGGGCUCAACCCCGGGUCUGCAGUGGGUACGGGCAGACUAGAGUGCAGUAGGGGAGACUGGAAUUCCUGGUGUAGCGGUGAAAUGCGCAGAUAUCAGGAGGAACACCGAUGGCGAAGGCAGGUCUCUGGGCUGUUACUGACGCUGAGGAGCGAAAGCAUGGGGAGCGAACAGGAUUAAGAUACCCCUGGUAGUCCAUGCC